rnacentral:rRNA from 1 species
AGCUCCAAUAGCGUAUAUUAAAGUUGUUGCAGUUAAAAAGCUCGUAGUUGGAUUUCUGGGAGGGUGCCAAUGUCCGCCUUUGCGCGUGUGCAGCGGCGCCCUUCCAUCCUUCUGUUAACGUCUCUUGGCAUUCAUUUGCUGGUGGCGGGCUCAGAUAUUUUACCUUGAGAAAAUUAGAGUGUUUCAGGCAGGCUAGGCCGGAAUACAUUAGCAUGGAAUAAUGGAAUAGGACUAUAGUCUCUUUGUUGGUUUUGAGGGACUGCAGUAAUGAUUAAUAGGGAUAGUUGGGGGCAUUAGUAUUUAA